rnacentral:lncRNA from 1 species
UGAACAAAUAAAAUUGAGAAUGGAAAUGGGGAAUGUGCCAAAGAGACAACAACCCGACCAUAGAAAAAACAACAGCAGAAGGUCACCAACAUGUCUUCAAUGUAGCGAAAAAUUCCCGCACCCGGAGGCGUCCUUCAGCUGGCCCCUAAACAAAUAUAUACUAGUUCAGUGAUAAUGAACGCCAUACUAAUUUCCAAAUUGUACACAAGAAACUAAAAUUAAAAUAAUAUAAGACUAACAAAGGCCAGAGGCUCCUGACUUGGGACAGGCGCAAAAAUGCGGCGGGGUUAAACAUGUUUGUGAGAUCUCAACCCUCCCCCUAUACCUCUAGCCAAUGUAGAAAAGUAAACGCAUAACAAUACGCACAUUAAAAUUCAGUUCAAGAGAAGUCCGAGUCUGAUGUCAGAAGAUGUAACCAAAGAAAAUAAACAAAAUGACAAUAAUACAUAAAUAACAACAGACUACUAGCAGUUAACUGACAUGCCAGCUCCAGACUUCAAUUAAACUGACUGAAAGAUUAUGAUUUCAUCAUAUGAACAUCAGGC